rnacentral:rRNA from 1 species
CCUACGGGGGGCUGCAGUGGGGAAUAUUGCACAAUGGGGGAAACCCUGAUGCAGCGACGCCGCGUGAGUGAAGAAGUAUCUCGGUACGUAAAGCUCUAUCAGCAGGAAAGAAAAUGACGGUACCUGACUAAGAAGCCCCGGCUAACUACGUGCCAGCAGCCGCGGUAAUACGUAGGGGGCAAGCGUUAUCCGGAUUUACUGGGUGUAAAGGGAGCGUAGACGGCGCUGCAAGUCCGGAGUGAAAGCCCAUGGCUUAACCAUGGUACUGCUCUGGAAACUGUGGAGCUUGAGUGCGGGAGGGGCAGGCGGAAUUCCUAGUGUAGCGGUGAAAUGCGUAGAUAUUAGGAGGAACACCGGCGGCGAAGGCGGCCUGCUGGACCGUAACUGACGUUGAGGCUCG